GUCAGCCCCCUCCGAGGUAAUGAAGAUUGAUGAUUUCGCGGAAACAGGAACGUUUUUGACAACCGUGAAAACAGGAAUCGCAGAAACACGAAGACGCCUUAAGAAUUGUGCUCAGAAAUUCCUUUUCAAGCUGUGUAGAGGUUUGCUGAAGGAGGAAACAAAAAGUAUGCAAGAUCAUCGCUGGGAUUCAAACUCCGAACUUGCCGAUGUCCAACCGGACGUACUUCCAGUUACACUAUGAAGUUAUGCGGACAAGCCCACGAAUUUUGUUGCGGCAAGGAAUGGAAAAUGGCAUCUGUUCGUGGCAUGAUCCUUGAGCACCAUAUACGUAACUGUACGACUUUGCCCAGUUCCACCCCAAUUUUGAAAGAUGGCUACCAAUCCGAGGAUCUUCCACCACUCUUCCUAUAACAACAAACCAAUCGAAAGGAUAUUCGGCUCGCCAUAUGUUUUGAGUGCCCCUGUGCCGCAUAUACACUAUACGAACAAGCCUUCUUCAGGAUUCGAAUCCGGCCCUUUUAUACGGUAGUCAGCAUUACUAACAACUGUCACGUCAGGGUAUAAGUACUUUUGUUCCUUUACUUUCACUUUUUUCUUACUUGUGUUAAAGUGAAUUUGUUCAAACUAUGAAUUUGAUGACUUCUGCACUUGAAUUUUUAUACUUAAUUUGAUUGAACGUCAUAGAGGCCCUGAACAAUAAUGGCACUUCCACAUCUCCUCAUUAAAAGAAGUUCUUGUUAUCCUGUCUUCUUGCAGACAAGUGUCUCUAUGCUGGGUAUGUAGUCAUCAAGGUACCCAAGGUAGCGAAAGGGCCGACGCUUUAGCUAUAGGAGCUAAAGUCACCCUUCCAUCGACUCAAAGAUCCCACUCUCCAUAGUCGCUGACAAAUGCAAGUUCUUCUGCACCUUCAUGUCCACCUGACACCGGUCGAUCUCCACCAAGAGGCUCAAAAUAGACUUCUACCUACAACAUGCUUUCACAAAUCACGUAAGAUUUCCCGUGUACCUCAGCAAGUUCUGCCGUUAACACGUCAAAUGCGCCUGCGGUGCCUCAGCUUCUUCAGCAGACGUCUCACAUUACAUCCACGGCUGUCCACUCACUUCUCCCAUCACAGUCUUUCUACCUCAGCUCCAGGGAUCACAUAACCUCAAAGACCUUCUUCAGAAUUACUACGGACAUCGGGGCAUCAGAACCAUCAUAGAGUAUGUCUAUUCUAAGAGAAACAUAAUCAUAGCAGAUAACCAAGUCUAGGCGCCUGAAGAAAUGUAAAGGCAGCAAGCCUCCGUUCAUGUAUAUAUGUAAAUACCCUCUAAACUAACUGUUUUUGCUAAUUUUAUACUAACAUACCCAAAACAUUGUAAGUUGAAGCACCCA